CAGCCGCCGCGGGAACACGGAGGGAGCUAGCGUUGUUCGGAAUUACUGGGCGUAAAGCGCGCGUAGGCGGUUACUCAAGUCAGAGGUGAAAGCCCGGGGCUCAACCUCGGAACUGCCUUUGAAACUAGGUGACUAGAAUCUUGGAGAGGUCAGUGGAAUUCCGAGUGUAGAGGUGAAAUUCGUAGAUAUUCGGAAGAACACCAGUGGCGAAGGCGACUGACUGGACAAGUAUUGACGCUGAGGUGCGAAAGCGUGGGGAGCAAACAGGAUUAGAUACCCCAGUAGUCCCUGUCUCUUAUAC
rnacentral:rRNA from 1 species